rnacentral:rRNA from 1 species
ACGGGUGAGUAACGCGUGGGAAUCUACCCAACCCUACGGAAUAACGCUUGGAAACGUGUGCUAAUACCGUAUACGCCCUAUGGGGGAAAGAUUUAUCGGGGAUGGAUGAGCCCGCGUUGGAUUAGCUAGUUGGUGGGGUAAAGGCCUACCAAGGCGACGAUCCAUAGCUGGUCUGAGAGGAUGAUCAGCCACAUUGGGACUGAGACACGGCCCAAACUCCUACGGGAGGCAGCAGUGGGGAAUAUUGGACAAUGGGCGCAAGCCUGAUCCAGCCAUGCCGCGUGAGUGAUGAAGGCCCUAGGGUUGUAAAGCUCUUUCACCGGUGAAGAUAAUGACGGUAACCGGAGAAGAAGCCCCGGCUAACUUCGUGCCAGCAGCCGCGGUAAUACGAAGGGGGCUAGCGUUGUUCGGAAUUACUGGGCGUAAAGCGCACGUAGGCGGAUAUUUAAGUCAGGGGUGAAAUCCCGGGGCUCAACCCCGGAACUGCCUUUGAUACUGGGUAUCUAGAGUCCAGAAGAGGUGAGUGGAAUUCCGAGUGUAGAGGUGAAAUUCGUAGA